rnacentral:pre_miRNA from 1 species
CAGCUGUGGGUACAGGAGGCAAAGCUCUGGGGCAUCUCCACCAUGGCCUGAACCUCUCUCCUCUUCCGUUCCUCACAAUCAGCAUAGGUGU